rnacentral:rRNA from 1 species
AUUCCCCUAGUAACGGCGAGUGAAGCGGGAACAGCUCAAAUUUGAAAUCUGGCCCUUGGGUCCGAGUUGUAAUUUGCAGAGGAUGCUUUUGGUGCGGUGCCUUCCGAGUUCCCUGGAACGGGACGCCUUAGAGGGUGAGAGCCCCGUACGGUUGGCCACCAAGCCUUUGUAAAGCUCCUUCGACGAGUCGAGUAGUUUGGGAAUGCUGCUCAAAAUGGGAGGUAUAUUUCUUCUAAAGCUAAAUACUGGCCAGAGACCGAUAGCGCACAAGUAGAGUGAUCGAAAGAUGAAAAGCACUUUGAAAAGAGGGUUAAAUAGCACGUGAAAUUGUUGAAAGGGAAGGAUUUAUGACCAGACUUUUUCUAGGGGGAUCAUCCGGUGUUCUCACCGGUGCACUUCCCCUAGUUGAGGCCAGCAUCGGUUUCUGCCGGGGGAUAAAAGCUUCGGGAAUGUGGCUCCUUCGGGAGUGUUAUAGCCCGUUGCAUAAUACCCUGGCGGGGACCGAGGUUCGCGCAUCUGCAAGGAUGCUGGCGUAAUGGUUAUUAAUCACCCGU